UACCCGGGCUAGAGAGGACAGCGGGCCGCAGGUUUAGUCCUGGUUGUGGAGUGGGAUGCUGAGAUGGGUCUGGAGGGAUGCAGGAUGUUCUAGGCCGUUAGGAUGGUAAAUAGGGACCUCGCUCCGCGAGGGAUGCUGAACGGGGUCUGGAAGAAUGCAAGAUGUCCUGGUCCGGGCCAGGAAUGGAGACAGUGUCUCACAUAUUCCAGGCUGGCCUGGGACCCACUAUGUAGUCAAGAGUUACCUUAAACCUCCUAUUCUCUUGCCUUCACCUUCCUAGAACUGGGAUGACAGACACUGCACACAGUGGUGCUGAGGAUGGAACUCAUGCCUGCUACGUAAGCUCUCUGGUCACUGAGCUACAGCCCCAUCCAGCCUCAUUUCAGUUACGCGGUGUGAUGUGCAUGCUUUUAAUCCCAGCACUCAGGAGGCAGAGGCAAGUGGAUCUCUGUGAGUUCUUGGCCAACCUGGUCUAUAUGGUUACAUGGAUAGUGGGAUGUCAGAAGGGGAAUUGUAGUGAAUCACCCUUCUAUCCAAUCAACUGACAACACAGCAAUGAUCCCACAUCAUCCCAGCCCGAGAAAAACUCAGGGUUGGUGCCGGUGCUGAGCAGCUACUGGCCAGGAGCUGGAUGUCAGAUCCCUGGGAGGAUAUGAGAGGAUGUUUCCAGAAACACCGAACUAAAAAGGAACGUCCAACCCUGAAUGUGGAGGACAUCCUCCUCUGGGCUGGGCUCCCAGACUGAGUAAGAAGAAAAUAAGUUGAGCUCGCCCCCCCCCCCCCCAGCGCUGUAGAUACAGUGUGACCAGUUACCAGCCAACCCCCUGUUGCGGUGCCUUUUUCUUUUUCUUUUUUUUUCUUCCCUACCACUAUGAACUGUUCACUCUUAAGCUGAGAGCUAAAAUAAACUCUUCCUUUUGUC
rnacentral:lncRNA from 1 species